CUGUGAAUGGUAAACAGUUGGUUUAGCAGGAUCUUGGUACAUGGCACAUGUAGUAAGGCGCAGGAAGAAUCAAAAAGUCAAUCACUUCAGCGGAAGUUCUAAGGAAGUCCUUUCAUUGGCCAGAGGUCUUGGAGAAUGUGGGGGUUCCUCCCAGGUUAAAAGUUCCCUUCUUCCGCCCCUCUUCGGACACAGUGUUUGGAUCCCCUUCCAGCCUCGUGGAAGCUGUCUUUCUCUCUCCUGGAUUUCCCCUCUGGAGUCCCCUUCCACACUCUUCAUGGAAGUUUUCUCUUCUCCUUUUUCUCUUCCUCUACCUAAAAUAAAAUCACUUUUCUGCAAAAACUCUGUU
rnacentral:lncRNA from 1 species